CAGUAUCGCUAACUUCAUCCUGAGAGGAGGAGGCCUGAGAGAGGCAUCGGGCAUCGCCGUCAAAAACCUUGAGUAUCGCCUACCCAAUCCUGAGAGGAGGAGAUGGUCUGGGAGAAACAUUGGGCAUCGGCGGAGCAACCUUGAGUAUCGUCGUAGCUACAUAGCAGAAUAACUCCGCCCGUUGCGCAUCGAACCCGUGAGUUAAAAAAAUUUUUUUAUUGAGGUAACGAAUCUACGAUUAAUUAUGUUGAAUGUAGAGAAAAUGUCUCAGUACAUGUCGAAUAACGACAAUAAAUUAUUUUACAAAGUAAUUAAAUCUCGUAGAUUCGUUGCCUUAAAAUGGAUGGAUUAAAUUUAAUUACGGCAAAUAAUUAAUCUUGGUAUUGUGACG